GGGAAAUGGGCAUGGGCAGCACGUGUGAGGGAAAUAGCCGAACUAAUAAUUCAACAAAUGCUAAAAUACUUUUCCCCCAGUUCUCCAAGGCGAAACCUCCCUGCUCAAAUCCCUGAAACGACGAAGUGAUUGGACAUCCGAUCCUCAGCAGCUGCUCUUCUAGCCAAGUUUCUGAAAUUCCAACCUCGAUGCUCGUCUUCUCGCCGUCGAAUUCCUACAUCGAUUGUGCAAGUUUAGUCGCCGACCUUCAAAUCUCGCUUGACCGCGUUUCGCCGUCGUUGCCAACAUUAAGGCAGCUUUGAUAUCAAUCUCUGACUAAAUGUGGUGAUUCUGCUGUGUAACUGAGAACACACGGUUCUUAGUAGUCGAAACUUUUAGAGUUGUUUGGAUGCUAUUGUUUGAAAAUGAAUCUUGUAGGAAUUUGCUCAAUAUAUGGUCCAGCAAUGCAUUUGUAAAUGAGUCCGUGCAUUCUGUUCGUGUUUUGGCCAUGUAUUGUUGGAACUAAUUGAGUUCUUUGUUUUUUUGAAAUUGUCAUCAUUUUUGCAGUUAAAGUUGUU
rnacentral:lncRNA from 1 species